UAAGCCCACCGUUAUUUACACGGCAACAAGUCUUCCCUGCCUCUUUCCCUGAGCCAGGCCCGCCUCGAAAACCCUAGCGUCGUCGUCGUCGGCGGCGGCCAUGGCGUCGGCGGCGUCCAAGCGCUGCUACUACGAGAUCCUCGGACUCUCCCGAGACUGCUCCCCGACCGACAUCAAGCUCGCGUUCCGGCGCCUCGCGCUUACCCUCCACCCCGACAAGCAGGCCCCGGGCUCCGACGUCGCCGCCGCCACCGCCGCCUUCCAGGAGCUGCAACACGCGCACUCCGUCCUCUCCGACCCCCAGGAGCGCGCCUACUACGACUCCCACCGCUCCCAGAUCCUCUUCGCCGACCCCGUCUCCUCCCGUUCCGGCACCGCCUCCGCCUCACCCGUCCCCGACCUAUUCUCCUUCUUCUCCACCUCCGCCUUUUCCGGCUUCUCUGACUCCGGCCGCGGAUUCUACAAGGUCUACGGCGACGUAUUCGACAAGGUAUACGCCCAGGAGGUCGCCUAUGCCCGCCGCAUGGGCAUCCCCACCGACUCCAUCUCCACGCCGCCGGUCAUUGGCAACCUCGACUCCCCUUACACCCAGGUCACCGCUUUCUACUCCUACUGGCUGGGUUUCGGCUCGGUUAUGGACUUCGGGUGGGCGGCCGAGUGGGACGCAUCCCGUGGGGAGAACCGCCGUGUUAGGAGGCUCAUGGAGGAGGAUAACAAGAAGGCAAUGCGCAAGGCGCGGCGGGAGUAUAACGAUGCUGUGAGAGGGUUGGCUGCCUUCUGUAAGAAGAGAGAUAAGAGGGUGGUUGACAUGGCACUGCGGAAGAAGGCAGAGGAAGAGAAAAAGAAGAAGGAAGAGAUGGAGCGAAAGAAGGCUGAGGAGAAGAAGAAGAAGGAGCGGGCAAUGGCGUAUCAAGAGCCUGAGUGGGCGAGGGUGGACGAGAUCGAGUUAGCCUUUGAGGAAGAGGAUGAUGAGGAGACGAGGGAAAAGGCCAAGGAGGAGCUGUACUGUGUCGCCUGUAAUAAGAAGUUCAAGUCGGAGAAGCAGUGGAAGAACCAUGAGCAGUCAAGGAAGCAUAAGGAUAAGGUGGCUGAUCUGAGGAUGGCCUUUAAGGAGGAGGAGGAGGCUCUAAAGGAAGCCGAGGAGGAGGCAGGAGGUGAGUGGGAAGAAGUUGAUGUGGGGUUCGACUUCAAGCCUGCUAACGAGUCCGAGGAGAGUGAUUGGUCAGAUGCUGCAGAAGAGUUGGCUGAGGAGUUGGACGAGGGCUUGGAGGUGGCGGAUGAAGACAAUGGUAAUAAGGACUUCAAUAAUGGGGAGCAGGAGGUUGGUUCAUAUGAUGAGACAAGUGUGUUGGAGGCGAUGUUGUCAAGCCGUAAGAACAAGAAAAGUGGCUAUGUGGUUCCUCAAGAGGAAGCUCCUUCUGUUGUUACAGAGGAUGAUAACAGUGAAGAUAGAAAUUCUGAAGUUAAGAGUGUCAAGAAGAAAGGACGCCGGAGGCGGGCAUCAAAGAAGGGACAAGAUGAAGGUAGUUAUGCUGAUAGUGGACAUGGUAUGAAGAAUGAUGUUCCGUAUGAGGAAUCUGUGCAUGAUAAUGAUGAAAAUGAUGCUGAUGAUAAGGCGGAAGGUCCACCCACUUCUAAUGAUGACGGCACAUCAGCAAGCGUUGGAAGCCAACAGAACGAAAAGACUGACAAUCCUAAAAAGAACAAAAAGAACAAGAAAGGCGCAGAGAAGAAAACAACUGUUUCUGCUGACCUAAAGUUCACAUCAAAGGGAAAGAAGCAAAAGGAGGUUUCGAAGGCAAGCAAUGAUUGUGAAACAUGUGGAGAUACUUUUGAGUCAAGGAGCAAGUUGUUUUCUCAUUUGGAAGAAACAGGUCAUGCUGUGAUCAAGGCACGACAGAAAAAGCGUUAAGUCAGGUUUUUGGACAUUCAACCCGAACGUUGUUUCUACACCACGUUCUUUUCGCAUGACCCACUUCGCCCCUCUCUCUCUCUCGGGCCGCGGCAAGGCUCACUGGCGGGGGACAAGGGAGUGCUGGCGAUUUGAUGCGGGGCAUCCUAUGGACAUCAUCAUAUCAAGGGCCCGUUUGGCAAGUGACACGUGCAACAUCUACUUUACAUACAUAAAGGUAUUGUCGGAACGCCACAGACGACGAGGAGGAGUGCGAGCGCAAGUGUACAACUACACCAUCCGCGAGGGAAGCGUGGAAGCGAACACGGAAGAAGAUGGAGCUGCGGAGUCUACAAUGUCUGGACGACCCGAAGCCACCGAACGCCCGACACUCUACAGCGCCCGGAUGGCCGACGUCCACUGGACGUCCGACGCACCCUCGACCAGCAGCAGACCAAGUCUACAGCGCCCGGACAACCGUCGAACACCAGACGUCCGACAACCUCCAGCCAUCGGACGUCCGACGCCUACCGAAAAUCCGGUGCCACAUGUCCAGAGCCAAAACGUCGGAAGUCCGACGCCCUCCGGAUGUCCGGACCCUCGAGAGCCACCGGACGACCGACAUCCCUCGGACGUCCGGCACCUACGCAAGCGCAGCCGGGCCAGAUGCCCAUGUAUCCCCUCCUCACUUAUCCCUUUGUGACUUAGACUAUAAAUAGACCUUCCCCUUCUCCUUUCUAGGGUUAGCAUACACUACAAAAAAUUACAC